AUGGGAUUUUUGCUCCUUGUAAUUUUUGCUGUAGCAGCUUUGGAAGGUGCCCGGUCCCAGGUCCAGCUGGUGGAGUCCGGAGGGGAUGUGAAAAAGCCCGGAGACUCUCUCCGCCUCUCCUGCAAAGCCUCCGGGUUCACCUUCAGCAGCUAUGGCAUGAGCUGGGUCCGACAGGCUCCUGGGAAGGGGCUGGAGUGGGUCUCACUCAUUUACUCUGAUGGGAGCCAACAAUAUUACGCAGACUCAGUGAAAGGCCGAUUCACCAUCUCCAGAGACAACUCCAACAACCUGCUGUAUCUCUAA